rnacentral:tRNA from 57 species
GCCGGGAUAGCUCAGUUGGUAGAGCAGAGGACUGAAAAUCCUCGUGUCACC